ACGGGUGAGUAACACGUGGGUAACCUGCCUCAUAGAGGGGAAUAGCCUUCCGAAAGGGAGAUUAAUACCGCAUAACAUAGCACUACCGCAUGGUAGAGUUAUCAAAGGAGCAAUCCGCUAUGAGAUGGACCCGCGGCGCAUUAGCUAGUUGGUGAGGUAACGGCUCACCAAGGCGACGAUGCGUAGCCGACCUGAGAGGGUGAUCGGCCACAUUGGUACUGAGACACGGUCCAGACUCCUACGGGAGGCAGCAGUGGGGAAUAUUGCGCAAUGGGGGAAACCCUGACGCAGCAACGCCGCGUGAGUGAAGAAGGCCUUAGGGUUGUAAAGCUCUGUCAUAUGGGAAGAUAAUGACGGUACCAUAAGAGGAAGCCACGGCUAACUACGUGCCAGCAGCCGCGGUAAUACGUAGGUGGCGAGCGUUGUCCGGAUUUACUGGGCGUAAAGGAUGCGUAGGCGGAUAUUUAAGUGGGAUGUGAAAUCCCCGAGCUUAACUCGGGGGCUGCAUUCCAAACUGGAUAUCUAGAGUGUCGGAGGGGAAAGUGGAAUUCCUAGUGUAGCGGUGAAAUGCGUAGA
rnacentral:rRNA from 1 species